ensembl:lncRNA
AUUUAAGCAAUUUUCUAAAUAAUAGGAAGGCCCCAGUUUCCUUCAUAAUCUGUAACUUUAUCAUUUAGCUCUGUGAUAAAUUCACAAAAAUGAUCUAUUUGGUUUUAUCUUGUGUGUGUAAGACAUACAUUUAAAAGCUCAGCUAUUCUUUGCAUCUUGGAGCAAUGAUGUCAGGCAUGGGAGACUAAGCUUAGGCUGGCUUUGGAUCCCACCUACACACGCUGGUGCUACUGACUCAUCCUGCAGCUCAGGCUGUACACACCACUCUCUAAGCCGCAGAUGACCUACGACAAGAACUACGAACUAGAACUGACUCUUGCCUGUUCAGCCAAGGACAUUGCUCUGGCUGUGAUGAGGAGCUGGUUUUAACUGCACAUGAACGGAGUGAGAGUGGCU